rnacentral:pre_miRNA from 1 species
AUGGUACUUCCUUUGUCCCAAAAUUCUUGUCUUAAAUUUGUCUAAAUACGAAUGUAUCAAGUAACGUUUUAGUAUUAGAUAUCCGUAGACAAAUCUAAGAUAAAAAAAUUUGGGACGGAGGGAGUAGUAU